UGAGCUUGAUUCCUGGCUCAGGACGAACGCUGGCGGUAUGCCUAAUACAUGCAAGUCGAACGCUGAAGCACUCUGCUUGCAGAGUGUGGAUGAGUGGCGAACGGGUGAGUAACACGUGGGGAACCUGCCCAUAAGAGGGGGAUAACAUCCGGAAACGGGUGCUAAUACCGCAUAGGUGAUCAUAGCGCAUGCUUAGAUCAUUAAAGAUGGCUUCGGCUAUCGCUUAUGGAUGGCCCCGCGGCGUAUUAGCUAGUUGGUGAGGUAAUGGCUCACCAAGGCUGUGAUACGUAGCCGACCUGAGAGGGUGAUCGGCCACACUGGAACUGAGACACGGUCCAGACUCCUACGGGAGGCAGCAGUAGGGAAUCUUCCACAAUGGGCGAAAGCCUGAUGGAGCAAUACCGCGUGAGUGAAGAAGGUCUUCGGAUCGUAAAGCUCUGUUGUUAGAGAAGAACAAGAGGUGUAGUAACUGGCACCUCCUUGACGGUAUCUAACCAGA
rnacentral:rRNA from 1 species